rnacentral:misc_RNA from 1 species
GAGGUGAGGUUAUACUGAAGCCAGUCCCACAUAUCCAGCAGUCAAGGCCAAAAUGCAAGAAAAAACAUAUGCACCAGCAACAAUGACAGGUUCUUUUACUCCACAUAAUUCAAGGUGGUGAUGUAAUGGUGCCAUUCGAAACAAGCGGUGUCCAGUUCCUAGGAAGUGUUUCGUUGUCUUGAAGAAGGAAACCUGCAGUAUAACUGAUAGUGCUUCGAGGACAAAAACACCAGAUGAGAUGAACAAUGGAAAGAACAUCCCCGUACAUGCAGCCAUAGAAGCUAGAGCACCCCCUAAGGCUAAAGCUCCUGUAUCACCCAUAAAUAUUGAUGCUUUGUAGCGGUUGUGCAGAAGAAAACCUGCACAGGCUCCUGCCAUAGAUGCUCCA